rnacentral:rRNA from 1 species
GAUGAACGCUGACAGAAUGCUUAACACAUCAGCAAUUGAUUGGUGGCGGACGGGUGAGUAACGCGUACAUACCUUGCCUCCCAUCUAGUGACAACAUUUGGAAACGAAUGCUAAUACCUACUACUGUGAGAGAGCUUUGCGUCCCAUUAGCUAGUUGGAGAGGUAACGGCUCACCAAGGCGAUGCUGGGUAGCCGGCCUGAGAGGGUGAUCGGCAACAAGGGGACGGAGACACGGCCCUUAGUCCUACGGGAGGCAGCAGUGGGGAAUAUUGGACAAUGGACCAAAGUCUGAUCCAGCAAUUCUGUGUGCACGAUGAAGUUUUCGGAAUGUAAAGUGCUUUCAGUUGGGAAGCGGUACCAACAGAAGAAGUGACGGCUAAAUACGUGCCAGCAGCCGCGGUAAUUC